UACGGGGGGGGGCAAGCGUUGUUCGGACUUCCUGGGCGUAAAGGGCUCGUAGGCGGCCAACUAAGUCGGACGUGAAAUCCCUCAGCUUAACCGGGGAACUGCGUCCGAUACUGGAUGGCUGGAGGUUGGGAGAGGGAUGCGGAAUUCCAGGUGUAGCGGUGAAAUGCGUAGAUAUCGUAAGGAAGACCAGUGGCGAAGGCGGGUCUCUGGACAGUUCCUGACGCUGAGGCACGAAGGUCAGGGGAGCAAACGGG
rnacentral:rRNA from 1 species